UGGGAAUUUUGGACAAUGGGCGAAAGCCUGAUCCAGCAAUGCCGCGUGUGUGAAGAAGGCCUUCGGGUUGUAAAGCACUUUUGUCCGGAAAGAAAUCCUUGGCUCUAAUACAGUCGGGGGAUGACGGUACCGGAAGAAUAAGCACCGGCUAACUACGUGCCAGCAGCCGCGGUAAUACGUAGGGUGCAAGCGUUAAUCGGAAUUACUGGGCGUAAAGCGUGCGCAGGCGGUUUGCUAAGACCGAUGUGAAAUCCCCGGGCUCAACCUGGGAACUGCAUUGGUGACUGGUAGGCUAGAAUAUGGCAGAGGGGGGUAGAAUUCCACGUGUAGCAGUGAAAUGCGUAGAGAUGUGGAGGAAUACCGAUGGCGAAGGCAGCCCCCUGGGCCAAUACUGACGCUCAUGCACGAAAGCGUGGGGAGCAAACAGGAUUAGAUACCCUGGUAGUCCACGCCCUAAACGAUGUCAACUAGUUGUUGGGGAUUCAUUUCCUUAGUAACGUAGCUAACGCGUGAAGUUGACCGCCUGGGGAGUACGGUCGC
rnacentral:rRNA from 1 species